rnacentral:ncRNA from 1 species
UGACCGAGCGUCGCGAAAAGUGAAAAGGGAAUCGGGUGUAAAUCCCGAACAAUGCCUGUUGCUGUGAGUUCCAUUCCGAGGAUUGCGGAAGUUUGUUUGUCGCUCUCUUUGCCACUGGUGAAAACUGGGAAGGCGCGACAAGCGGAACAAGUCAGAAGACCUGCCUGUGCAA